GAUGAACGCUGGCGGCGUGCCUAAUACAUGCAAGUCGAGCGAACAGACGAGGAGCUUGCUCCUCUGACGUUAGCGGCGGACGGGUGAGUAACACGUGGAUAACCUACCUAUAAGACUGGGAUAACUUCGGGAAACCGGAGCUAAUACCGGAUAAUAUAUUGAACCGCAUGGUUCAAUAGUGAAAGAGGGUUUUGCUGUCACUUAUAGGUGGAUCCGCGCCGCAUUAGCUAGUUGGUAAGGUAACGGCUUACCAAGGCGACGAUGCGUAGCCGACCUGAGAGGGUGAUCGGCCACACUGGAACUGAGACACGGUCCAGACUCCUACGGGAGGCAGCAGUAGGGAAUCUUCCGCAAUGGGCGAAAGCUUGACGGAGCAACGCCGCGUGAGUGAUGAAGGUCUUCGGAUCGUAAAACUCUGUUAUUAGGGAAGAACAAAUGUGUAAGUAACUAUGCACGUCUUGACGGUACCUAAUCAGAAAGCCACGGCUAACUACGUG
rnacentral:rRNA from 1 species